CAUUGUGUCUGCCUGCUCAGAGAGCGCUUUGGGAGUACACUUUAGAGUUUUCUUACCACUUGUAACACAGAUGCAGGAAGAGGAACUUCUUCCUCCCCCUGAGCCUAGGGCCUCCACUUCAAGGCCAACACAAAGACACGUGGUUGGAGCAGACAAUGUGAGGACCCUGUAUAAAAGAACCCUGGAGCUGGAUAUUGAAUAUAAGAAGCUUUUAAUAAAGAAGGCUGGAGAUAGAAAAGCUUGAGUUUGAAAAGAAGGGAGUACAUGACUUAAUGUAUAUGAAUGUAUGAAUGAA